ensembl:lncRNA
CCUCCACCACAUGCAGCUUGCCUCGUCAUGUGACACCGCAUUUCCUCUGCUUUGGAUAAUCAAGAAGCAAAGCCAUUAGAGUUCCUGGUUUCCUUGGGUCCAGGAGACCUUUUUGCGAUAAGUUGUAGUCAACACUCUCCUCGAAAAACUUUCCUUCAACUACCACUUAGGGGAAAGCUAGGGGGUUCAGUACCCUAACCCAUGAAGAUUUGCCACUGAUACUGGAGUUUUUGCCUUGGGGACCGUUCUUUCUGAUGCUGUGGAGUUGCUACUGGAGAGGUUCGUGACAUUGUUCAGGAGGCAGUGAUCAAAACCAUCCCCAAGAAAAAGAAAUGCAAAAAGGCAAAAUGGUUGUCUGAGGAGAUCUUACAAAUAACUGAGAAAAGAAGAGAUGCUAAAGGCAAAGGAGAAAAGGAAAGAGUUCCAAAGAAUAGCAAGCAGAGAUAAGAAAGCUUUCCUCAGUGAUCAGUGCAAAGAAAUAGAGAAAAAUAAUAGAAUGGGAAAGACUAGAGAGCUCUUCAAGAAAAUUAGAGAUACUGAGGGAACAUUUCAUGCAAAGAUGGGCACAAUAAAGGACAGAAAUGAUAUGGACCUAACAAAAGCAGAAGAUAUUAAGAACAGGUGGCAAGAAUACACAGAAGAACUGUACAAAAAAGAUCUUCAUAACCCAUAUAACCACAAUGGUGUGAUCACUGACCUAGAGCCAGACAUCCUGGAAUGUGAAGUCAAGUGGGCCUUAGGAAGCAUCACUAUGAACAAAGCUAGUGGAGGUGAUGGAAUUCCAGUUGAGCUAUUUCAAAUCCUAAAAGAUGAUGCUGUGAAAGUGCCACACUCAAUAUGCCAGCAAAUUUGUCAGUGGCCACAGGACUGGGAAAGGUCAGUUUUCAUUCCAAUCCCAAAGAAGGGCAAUGCCAAAGAAUGUUCACAUUACUACACAAUUGCACUCAUCUCACACACUAGCAAAGUAAUGCUCAAAAUUCUCCAAGCCAGGCUUCAACAGUGCAUGAACCAUGAACUUCCAGAUGUUCAAGCUGGAUUUAGAAAAGGCAGAGGAACCAGAGAUAAAUUGCAAAUAUCCAUUGGAUCAUAGAAAAGCAAGAGAAUUUUUUAAAAAAAUCUACUUCUGCUUUAUUCAUUACGCCAAAGCCUUUGACUGUAUAGAUAACAACAAACUGUGGAAAAUUCUGAAAGAGAUGGGAAUACCAGACCACCUGAUCUGCCUCCUGAGAAAUCUGUAUGCAGGUCAAGAAGCAACAGUUAGAACUUGACAUGGAACAACAGACUGGUUCCAAAUUAGGAAAGGAGUACAUCAAGCCUAUAUAUCGCCACCCUGCUUAUUUAACUUAUAUGCAGAGUACAUCAUGCGAAAUGCCAGACUGGAUGAAGCGCAAGCUGGACUCAAGAUUGCUGGAGGAAAUAUCAAUAACCUCAGAUAUGCAGAUGACACCACCCUUAUGGCAGAAAGUGAUGAGGAACUAAAGAGCCUAUUGAUGAAAGUGAAAGAGGACAGCAAAAAAGCUGGCUUAAAAUUCAACAUUCAGAAAACUAAGAUCACGGCAUCUGAUCCCAUCACUCCAUGGCAAAUAGAUGGAGAAACAAUGGAAACAGUAACAGACUUUAUUUUUUUGGGCUCCAAAAUCACUGCAUAUGGUGACUGCAGCCAUGAAAUUAAAAGACACUUACUCCUUGGAAUAAAAGCUAUGACCAACGUAGACAGUAUACUAAAAAGCAGAGACAUUACUUUGCCAACUGUCUGUUUAGUCAAAGCUAUGGUUUUUCCAGUAGUCAUGUAUGGAUGUGAGAGUUGGACUAUAAAGAAAGCUGAGCACUGAAGAAUUGAUGCUUUUGAACUGUGGUGUUGGAGGAGACUCUUGAGAGUCCCUUGGACUGCAAGGAGAUCCAACCAGCCCAUCCUAAAGGAAAUCAGUCCUGAAUAUUCAUUGGAAGGACUGAUGCUGAAGCUGAAGCUCCAAUACUUUGGCCACCUGAUGGGAAGAACUGACUCAUUGGAAAAGACCCUGAUGCUGGGAAAGAUUGAAGGCAGUAGAAGAAGGGGACGACACAGGAUUAGAUGGUUGGAUGGCAUCACGGACUCAAUGGACAUGAGUGUGGGCAAGCUCUGGGAGUUGAUGAUGGACAGGGAAACCUGGCCUGCUGCAGUCCAUGGGGUCGCAGAGUCGGACACGACUGAGUGACUGAACUGAACUGAACCUCCACUUCAGAUGCCUCUUCCCAGGCGGCACAGUGGCCUCCUGCCAAUGCAGGAGGCAUAAGAGAUGCAGGUUUGAUCCCUGAGUUGGGAAGAUCCUUUGGAGGAGGAAAUGGCAACCCAUUCUCGUAUUCUUGUUUGGAAAAUCCCAUGGACAGAGGAGCCUGGCAGGUUACAGUCCAGGGGACUGCAAAAAGGCAGACACAACUGAGCACACACACACAUAUAUUAUGUUUAGGUUUUUAGUGUAUACGACUUUCACCCUUGUGCUUCCAUCUCACUUCCCCACCUCCACCCCCAGCAAGCACUUAGGUACUAAGCAAACACUAAGUUGGUCUCAGUCCAACUCAGGCCUCCUGCCCAAAGGCUGCACUAAUGACAGGCAUGUUUCUGUGGCGGAAUCUCAAAAGCAGCAGGCAACAAUUUAAUUAGCUCCAAGUCAAUAAACCUCCACGAACCCCAGCAAGGCAGUAAAGCAUAAGCCUCACUAGUAAUUAUCAGCAAAAGAUUAUUCAUGUAGAACUAUGAUGCUUAACAUUUGGCAGUAUCUAACAUAGAAUAUUUAUAAUUUUCUGACAAUGACUAACAAUGAAGAAUGGCAUCAGAAUGCAUUAGAAUUAAUUCUGUUACAAUCCUUAAUUUAGAAAGAAAAAAAAAAACAAAAAACUCCCACAAAAGGAUAUAACACAGGAAAACCCAAAUUGGUAUACAGUCAAAGGAUAGACAAUUUGCAACAUAAUUUCAUGGAUGCUUUUUAAAAUUUUUCUCAAAUAAAGUGACUACAUGAAUAUUUGAUGUAAGAAUACAUUAAUGUUAGUGGGAAUGGACACCCUGUGUUACUCAUGUAUGUAUUAAAUAAACUACUCGUCAUAUCAUUCCCUCACUUGAAUAAUUCCUUAUAUUAAGCAGCCCUUACAAUCUGCCUCCAGAUCUCAUUUUUGAUGCUAAACACUUUUGGGGUCAAGACAUGAUUUGGGGCUUCAAGUUGAGAAUUUGUGAGCAUUGCAAUCAAAGCAAUCUGAUGAGAUAAGCCAGAUGAGCACGUGGACAGUCACCCAGCUUCAUCUCCCUCAAGGUACACAAACCAACACCCCCUCCUUUAAUCAUAGUACAAUUCAAAUCUGGCAAGUGUACCCCAGUUCUUCAGGGCUGACCCCCUGUCUCCCUAUAGAAAGCAGAACUUAGAAAUUCUCCCUACAAAGUCAUAACAAUAACUUCAAAAUUUCAAGUGCAGUAGGCUAGGGAAAUGUCCCAUUUCCUGCAUUCUCACAGGAUUAAGUGUUCUCACUGCCUGAUCUUAGAGUUUUCACAGCCUAGUCCUGCUGACCAUGCUAGUUGGUAUGGAUUAGAUUUGCUGUGAGUGAUGGAAAACUCAAACAGCAUUUCCUAAAUAAGACAGACGACUCCAAGUAGGUGGUAAAGGGCUGUGUGAUUAUCCACAAUGACUGUUGCUCUGCGGGACCUGACAGAUUCAGGGCUCUGGAGAAGAGGGUGCUAGAUGCUGGGGAGGGU